rnacentral:rRNA from 1 species
GAUGAACGCCGGUCGGUGUCGCCGUAAGUACAUGCAAGUCGUACGCACUGGCCCAACUGGAUUGGAUAGGGUGCUUGCACCUGAUUGACGAUGGAUCACCAGUGAGUGGCGGACGGGUGAGUAACACGUAGGUAACCUGCCCCGGAGCGGGGGAUAACAUUUGGAAACAGAUGCUAAUACCGCAUAACAACAAAAGCCGCAUGGUUUUUGUUUGAAAGAUGGCUUUGGCUAUCACUCUGGGAUGGACCUGCGGUGCAUUAGCUAGUUGGUAAGGUAACGGCUUACCAAGGCGAUGAUGCAUAGCCGAGUUGAGAGACUGAUCGGCCACAAUGGAACUGAGACACGGUCCAU